rnacentral:rRNA from 1 species
GACGAACGCUGGCGGCGUGCUUAACACAUGCAAGUCGAGCGGUAAGGCUCCUUCGGGAGUACACGAGCGGCGAACGGGUGAGUAACACGUGAGUAAUCUGCCCUUCACUUCGGGAUAACCACCGGAAACGGUGGCUAAUACCGAAUACGACCAGUCUUCGCAUGAGGUGCUGGUGGAAAGUCUUUUCGGUGAAGGAUGUGCUCGCGGCCUAUCAGCUUGUUGGUGGGGUAAUGGCCUACCAAGGCUUCGACGGGUAGCCGGCCUGAGAGGGUGACCGGCCACACUGGGACUGAGACACGGCCCAGACUCCUACGGGAGACAGCAGUGGGGAAUAUUGGACAAUGGGCGAAAGCCUGAUCCAGCAACGCCGCGUGAGGGAUGACGGCCUUCGGGUUGUAAACCUCUUUCAGUACCGACGAAGCGCCCUGUCGGGUGGUGACGGUAGGUACAGAAGAAGGACCGGCCAACUACGUG